rnacentral:sRNA from 1 species
AAGAAAUAGUUCAUGGCAGCCGUAGAUUUGUUUACAUUUGACCCUGGUUUGGGCAUUUAUAUUCGUAUUUUACCAUAGUUAAAUGAAAACAAAUCUACGGCUGCCAUGCAUUAUUUCUUGAAU